rnacentral:piRNA from 1 species
UCCAUUUUUUAUUACAAUUUA